rfam:Salmo salar isolate Sally breed double haploid chromosome ssa06, whole genome shotgun sequence.
CAUGUACAAGUGUGUAAGUCGCUCUGGAUAAGAGCGUCUGCUAAAUGACGUAAA